CCUACGGGCGGCAGCAGUGGGGAAUAUUGGACAAUGGGCGAAAGCCUGAUCCAGCCAUGCCGCGUGUGUGAAGAAGGCCUUCGGGUUGUAAAGCACUUUCAGUGGGGAAGAAAGCCUUGGGGCUAAUACCCUCGAGGAAGGACAUCACCCACAGAAGAAGCACCGGCUAACUCCGUGCCAGCAGCCGCGGUAAUACGGAGGGUGCGAGCGUUAAUCGGAAUUACUGGGCUUAAAGCGCGCGUAGGCGGUCUGAUAAGCCGGUUGUGAAAGCCCCGGGCUCAACCUGGGAACGGCAUCCGGAACUGUCAGGCUAGAGUGCAGGAGAGGAAGGUAGAAUUCCCGGUGUAGCGGUGAAAUGCGUAGAGAUCGGGAGGAAUACCAGUGGCGAAGGCGGCCUUCUGGACUGACACUGACGCUGAGGUGCGAAAGCGUGGGUAGCAAACAGGAUUAGAUACCCGUGUAGUC
rnacentral:rRNA from 1 species